GGCAUCAUUUUCUCUCUCUCUUCUAUCCUAAUUUGGCUCCUUUGACCUGAGAAAAGACAAAAAAAAAAGAUGGAGAAAAAAAUUCCGAACAAUAAUGAUAGGAGAAAACUAUAUAAUAUGUUCACCUUGGUUGGGUCAAGUGGGAGGAAGAGAAAAGCGAAAAACCAUCAAGGGAAACCAAGUUUACAGGUUAACUAGUAAAUAGCCGUUGGUGGUCAAUGUCCUGAGGAUAAAUAAUAAACACUUUCACAUGAUUAAGUUAUUAAGAAGAAUUAGUUAAUUCACCUGAUUACACUUGAGAAAAAAACAUCAACUAAUCAAUUGAAUUUAAGUGACAAGAAAAGAGAAAACAAUUGACCGCCAAUCAGAACAAAGAAACGAAAAGCAUAAUCAGCUGAUCUCCAAAGCAUAAUUUUCUCAUUAAUUUUUUUUUCUCUUUUCAUUGUUUCCUUAAUUAAUUAAAUUCUUUCAAACAAUUUAAUUUAUUUCUUUUAAUUCCUGAUUAUUUUAAUUUUCUAAUUAUUACAAAGACAAUCUGUGUGUUCACUUAUAACAAGUAAGUAAAAAUCGUCAAGUUGACUAAUCAUUUUUCUUGUUCACUUUUCUCACAACAGAAAAAAAAAUAAUCAUCUUGGUUUGAUAUUAAAUUUAAAAUGAAGAACAUUUAAAAUCGUAAUGUAAAUCAUUUAUAUUCUAUGCUGUUAAUUGUGUAAUCGUUUGUGGAUGUAUAUUAAACACACUGGAGAUACAUGGAGACGAUAAUUGAAGCAACGUUAUGAUCCCCACACUUGAUGAUAUGAGGAGUAAAUUUCAACAUCGUGACUACAAUUUUUUUGUUUCCAAAUUCACAAAAACCUCUAACCUCUCAUCUCUCCCAAUCUUCCAGUCCAAAGUGAAACAGGCCAAAGACGAUGGAUAGAUGAUGAUGAUGAUGAUGAUGAUGAUGUUAUGGAUGGUACAAUCGAAGAAGAUAAAGAAGCCGGGGCGGUGUAAAAGACCACCGGUUUAAUAGGCAGGGUGGAACACGAUUCACCUUGACUUGUGAAUUUACAACAUUGAGGUUACAAUGGUUAAAGUGAAUACCAAAUAAUAACAAUAACUAAUGGAUCCAAAGACAAGCGUUUAAUUUGGUAACAAAAAGGCUAAAACCAUCAAACGAAUAACUUUUGACAUCUUACUCCAAAAGAUUAUCAUCAUCACAGUAAUAAUCAUUAUCAUCUUAAUCUCACCAUCACCAUCAUCAUAAUCAUAAUCUUUCAAUUCUCUAGCAAGAAAAUUAUUACAUCAUUUUCCCUUUUUCUCUUCACUAUCAAUUUUGUUUCUUUUUCUCUCCUCAAUAAUCAACCAUCAUCCUCAUCAUUUAUUACUCAAUUUUCUAGGUUAUUUUAAAUCGAAUACCUGAUUCCUCUUGAACCUCAUCUUCUCUCUCUCUAUCAUCAUCUUUAUCUUCAUCUUAAUCUUUAGACCGUUAAGGCUGGGUCUUUGACGCAACUUACCUGGUGGUCUUGAUAAAUUACAGUCUGGUUACAAAAUUUAUCCUCCUUAUCUUCAUCUUCUUCCUUUGGUCAGUCAACCUCAUCUUCACUCAUCAUCUUCAUCUUUUUUUACAACUUGAAGCAUUUUUUUCCUUCAUCAUCAUCAUCAUCUUCUUAUGUAUUUGUUUAUUUCUCUAUUUAUCUUUUAUUUACCUUUUGUUGUCGGCGAUGGUGAUGGUGGUGAGAUAAUUACAAUCAUAUUAAUAUAUUCUUAGCAUUUUCCUUUGGUUGAUGAUCACAACAUAUCAAGAGAGAGACAUGAUAAAUUGAGGCGAAAAUAAUUUCCAACUGAAAUGAUUGAUGUAAAUUGUAUUUAAAUUGUUAUAUUCUGAUGAUCAUUUUUCACUCGUAUUUAGUUAAUCAUCAUUUCUACCUUUUAAAUUAGCAGCAGAAAAAAGGUAAACAUACUAAUCAUUGAGGAUAAAUUAAUUAUCUAAUCAAAAAGUAUCAGCAUGAGACACAAUCAACUUUACUUAACAAGUUGUAAUACCAAUAGGACAACAACAAUCAACUGAUUCUCAAUGGAUGGAUGAUCGGAAAUGACCAAACUCUAAACAAUAACAAUCAACUAAUUUAAUGUCAAUCACUCAAGUUGAUUACAUGUUAUCACCACAAUUAUAUCAGUCACAGAUCUUUGGUUCAUAAAUUGGAUGAAACCAAAAUUAAUCAGAAUCAAGGGAAACCAAAUUAAACUUAACUAUUUGGAGGAUAAACAAUCAACAUUUGAUUUUAAUGGUGGAAAAUCAAAGUUAACAAUUGAAGCGAGUCAACAAUUUGAUCAAGGGUCUGAUGAACCUGAUUUACUGAUUGUUGUUAUUAUCAAAAAGAAACACAAUUUGUAAAAACUAAUCAUCAGGAAGCUUUAAAUCAUAACUAACAAUCUAAGUGUAUCUUGAUUGUUAUUCUUGAACAAGUAACAAUUAACUUUCACAUUAACAUCAUUGAUUUAUUGAUGAUAAUGUGAAACACCAAAAACAAAAAAUCAACAUCAUUUAACUGUUAAUUGUUUACAAUUGACAAAUUAACUUGGUUAAUAGUCAUCCAACACUAAUGAACAUUUAAUUUGCCUCCUUUUUUAUUAUUAUAUUGCUUAAUUGUUUAUAUUUAUAUCGAUGAUUGUUUUCAUGUUUAUCAUCAUUUCUUAAUUGUUAACCAUUUAUUUUGACCUUAAAAAAUUGAUUGAAAACAAUUAGAUGAAAGGAUUUACUUUGAUCAAACAAAAAUGAAUCAAUAUCGAUCUCGGAUCAUUUACCAAUCAAUUGAUUAUCCUGAUUGUUAACACAAUAUUAUCACAAUCAGGUCAAUCAAAGUGUAACAAUCAAUUUCAAGGUUAAUUGUGAAAAGUGAAUCAAUUGAUUUCUUGAACAAACAACCAAAACAACAACAACAGAAAGAUCAACAAUCAAAGUAACAAUUAAAAUGAAAACUUUCACCAUAAAAUAGAUCCAAUUGUUGAACAAUUUAAAUCAUCCGAUUUGAUUUGUUUAAUGAUUAACUAGGUUAGUAAUUGUGAUGAAGAUGAUAAUGUUAAUGAUGUUGAUUAAGAUAAUCAUCUUUAAUUGUAUUAUUUAAUGAAUAGGAAUGAAUAAUGAUAAAGAUAAUCAUGAUUAAGAUGAUUAAGAAAACUUUCUAACGGAAAUUGAUUGUUACAAUGUCGGCAAAUGUUACAAUUAACUUAAUCAUGAUUUAACUUUCAUCUUUAUUAAGAUUGUUAAUGUUGUUUAAUCAUUGGAAUAACAAUCAAAUUGUUGCAAAAAAAAAGAUGAUCAAGUUAAUUGUGCUUAUGGUUUGAAAGUUGAUUGUGAUCAAUGGUUAAUCUAAAUUAACUGAAAUAAUCUCACGUUAUUUGUUGAUUGUUGGAUAUGAUAGUUGAUUCAUUUACGAUUUGCCAAUUGAUUGUAAUCAAUUUUUAAUCACAAUUAAAA